UUUUUUUUUUUUUUUUUUAUGUUUGUAAUAAAACUUUUUUAGGAUUUAUUGUGAGAGUUUCUACUCUCCUAAAGAUUCUUGGUGAGAGUGAACUUUCUCCUCUUCUAAAAUUUUUUUUUGUUUGUAAUUUUUUUAAUAUUUCUAUUAUUAGAUCUAAGCUUUUAAAAAAAAAAAUUGGUUAUUAUAUUUGAGAUUCCUUAAAUCUCAACUUAAUAUUUGGAUUUGAAUUAGUUUAUUACAAGCAGUGCGAUUGAAAAUAUAUACAAAUUGGGAUAUAAAUAUUUGAUCUCUUAAAUUUUUAGAGUUUUAUAAUGUAAUACAAAUUUAAGAUUUAUAGUAUCUAAUAUUUGUUUUUAGAUUUGCUUGUAUGUGUAUGUUAAUACUAAUUUAUGUCAUCAAUACAGAUUUAAUGAAAUGAUCAUGUUUUUUAUUAAAAAAAAUGUUGUCCUUGUCUAUGCCCCAAGGCCCCUAAUCAUAGUUUUUUUAUUAAAAAAAAUGUUGGCUUUUCAGUGGGAAAUUAUUAAAUAAAAAAAGGCAUUUGGUUAAGUACUAUAAUUGAAGGCUAAGUCAAGUUAUUAACCAUAGGUUAGUACUAUGUUUGCUUAUAUAAUUCAAGAAUCAUUAGUGGAGAAUGAACAUCUUAGCACUGAUUAAUUAUGUAGUAAAAGUAUAGAAUCCGCAUACACGAAAAUUCUUGUAGAAGGUACCAGAUGUCCCUUGUUAAACUCACAAGCUCUCUUCUUUUCUCCUUCCACCUUGGACCGUUUGACAUUUCUCCAUGAACCCACCAAAAAAAGAAAAAAGAAAAAGGCACAGAUGCAUGAAAAUGCGGAUCGCGAAACUCCAAAGGCUAAUGGAUGGAACCCACCAAACCUACAUGUUCGUGACGCCACAGCAACAUUUUAUACAAUGGAGAUUAUCGUAAUGGUACAUGGGAAGCUACAAAACAUCAUACAUAUUUGACAAGGCAUUCUCAGUCCUAUUCGGAAGCAUCACCCUACGACUCUGACUUGUUAGUUGUUACGUGAUCUAACAUACAAGGCUAGACAUCUACAACUGUUCAAAACUCUUCAAGGUCUCUGCUUUGCAGGUCGUUUUGUAGUGCC
rnacentral:lncRNA from 1 species